rnacentral:rRNA from 1 species
UUCCCAGACUCCUACGGGAGGCAGCAGUGGGGGAUAUUGGACAAUGGGGGGAACCCUGAUCCAGCGACGCCGCGUGAGUGAAGAAGUAUCUCGGUAUGUAAAGCUCUAUCAGCAGGGAAGAAAGAAAUGACGGUACCUGAGUAAGAAGCCCCGGCUAACUACGUGCCAGCAGCCGCGGUAAUACGUAGGAUGCGAGCGUUAUCCGGAUUUAUUGGGUUUAAAGGGUGCGCAGGCGGCACGGCAAGCCGGCGGCCAAAGCGCGGGGCUCAACCCCGCCCAGCCGUCGGAACUGCCGGGCUAGAGUGGGCGAGAAGUGCGCGGAAUGCGUGGUGUAGCGGGGAAAUGCAUAGAUAUCACGCAGAACUCCGAUUGCGAAGGCAGCGCACCGGCGCCCUACUGACGCUCAGGCACGAAAGCGUGGGUAUCGAACAGGAUUAGAUACCCGCGUAG